CACGUAGUUAGCCGUGGCUUAUUCAAGAGGUACCGUCUUCUGCUCUUCCCUCUUAAAAGAAGUUUACAACCCGAAAGCCUUCUUCCUUCACGCGGCGUUGCUGGGUCAGGCUUGCGCCCAUUGCCCAAUAUUCCCCCACUGCUGCCUCCCGUAGGAGUCUGGGCCGUAUCUCAGUCCCAAUGUGGCCGGUCAACCUCUCAGUCCGGCUACUGAUCGUCGCCUAGGUGGGCCGUUACCCCGCCUACUAGCUAAUCAGACGCGAGGCCAUCUUCCAGCGAUAAAUCUUUGACAUUCAAACCAUGCGAUUCAAAUGUGUCAUGCGGUAUUAGCAGUCGUUUCCAACUGUUGUCCCCCUCUGGAAGGCAGGUUCCUCACGCGUUACUCACCAGUCCGCCACUAAGCAUUCCUCUCCAUUGUCCGAAAACUCUUUCAAGGGUGCUCCGUUCGACUUGCAUGUGUUAAGCACGCCGCCAGCGUUCGUCCUGAGCCAGGAUCAAACUCU
rnacentral:rRNA from 1 species